rnacentral:lncRNA from 1 species
GCUACAGAGAUAACUGCCCAUAGCCUUGUUUCUGCCCUCCUGGGACUUAAAAUCCAGAGGAACAUAUUGGGCUGGAAAAAGCUGAGUUUUUAGAAUUAGAUAGGCUAGUGUUCAAGUUCUGGUGUGGCUACUUUCUAGCUGGGCAAUCUUGGGUAUGAUAGAUAGUCUCUCUGAUCUCCCCUCCUCAUUCGGAAAGGCAUGAUCACCAUGACCAUCUGGUAGGAUUUCUUGUGAGUACCGAAAUGAAAGGUGGAAGCAUUUGGCCCAAUACCCAAUAAGUGCCAAAGAAACAUUAGUGCCCUCCCCUUCACCAAAGCUUCUUCCUGGAUGGCCCACUGACCCCCGGUGUCCUCUGAUAUUUCUGGGGUCUUUCAGAAGGUGAGUAAUCACUUUACGAUGUCUGAGAUUUUUAGUCUUGACUGCUUUUGUUUCCUAAAUGAUGGAACUCCCAAGCCUUGGUUUCCAAGGAUUUGCUCUCCAUUUCUUUAUCACAUUCACAGAUUACUUCCCAGUCAAGUGAGAUGUUCAAUAGAAAAUUUAUUCCGGGACACUGUGGUUUUAGUGCACAGUUAAAGAAAAAAAACAUGGGAAAGAAGCCAGCUGGACUAUGAAAUAUUCAUUUGCAUCACAAAUAUUUACUGCGUUCUGUGUGCCAAGUACUGUGAUAGGUCUUGGAGGCAGAACAGUGGACAUGGUAGAUAAAAGUCAAAUCCCGAAGGCAAUUCCAUAAACCACAAAUAGAAAGCACACCUUUGUAUUUCUUGUCAUGGCUAUAGAUCUGACUGGGGUUGUAUGUAAGGAGGAGUGGCUGCCUGGUUCUCACAAAGCAUGGUGGUGGACUUAAUGAAUUCAUUCUCUGUGGCUAGGAGCCUGCAUUCCCCCUCACCUCCCCAUGGGCAAGCACUUUGGGAAAGCCCUUUCCCCAAAGCCUCCCACCCUUUCUCUCGCAGUCUGACAUUGCAGUUUACAUUUGGUGCUUCUUGAGUCCAAAACAAUUUCUUAAUUCAACAAAUGAUCACACAUCAUUCCCUGACUGUGUAAAGUACAGCAAAUUAGCACAGCCAAAGCAGGAAAUAUUUGCUCUGAACGUGCACCCGUCUUUGUUUUCACAGCCUCUUCCCAGUCAAUGGAGUGCAGAUCAUCUAUUGCCAGACACCAUGGUAUACACUAGAGUUACAGAGGUGAAGAGGCACGGUCCCUUUCAUACAAAAGUCAGUGUGAAAGGGAGACAGACAUUAACAGAAACACUUAAUCCACCGGACUGAGUUCCAUAGGAAGCAGUGACAUGGCAAAAGGAGUGGUCAAUUGUUUGGAGGGAACUAUGAGAUGGAAAAAACAGGAAAGAUAAUUUUCAAAAGACAAAGCAGCAUGCAUAUAAGGGCAUAAAUAUUUUUUGUUGAGACCCCCUUUAAUAGACUCUAACUCUACAGUUGUUACUUUGACACCCUAUACAGUAAAUCCAUAGUAUUUAAGCAGAUUCUAUAGUCAUCCAAAUAUUUGCCCAUAGCCAUUCUUUAACCGUGUCUGCUGCUAACAAAUGCCAGCAAAGCACAGCAUUGUCUUUGUUUUAACAUUUCCCUUAAAAUAGGGCCACCUUUCUGUUUUCCACCUGACUCACAGUGAAACAGAAAGACCUGGAAUGAAGUAAGUCAUUUGGUGCCCUGAGAUAAAGGACAGCACAGCCUGUCACGUGGCAGUCACGGGGGAAGUUGUACUGACAGUCUCUUAGAAAUGCAAAAACAAUAAGGGCACUUGGCAACCAGAAUGGAAUACCAAGACGUUGGCCAAUUUCCUCUAGGCUUUCCUGGGAGAGGUGGCUGUAGGAGGCUGGGGUGGAGGGGCUGAUCACAGGCUUGCUCUACUGGCUCUAGAAACCAGAGGUGUAACUGGGAGCUCUCUGUAACUUUCCAGGUGGUGAGCAUAGAGGCUAUGGACAUGGCAGGGAUUUCCAUGUCCACACCAAGGGCCCCUCCCUGAGCCUGAGCACGAGGUGGUGAGCUCUGAGCUCACUCCUGAAUCCCAGCACAUAAUCACUCAGAAGCCAGGGAAAGAGGAAGUCCUCCAAAGCGUGGCUGCCCUUACCCAGUGUUUUGUGGAGCCUACUUUAGGCAGAUUAUCAGUAAGAAUAAACCCUAUAGUGCUAUAAUGGGCAAGCAGUGAUACCUUUUCAAAGCACUAUUUUUUUCAAAUUGAACUUGUUUCUAAAACUAAAUUAUGGUAAUGGUUGUACUACUCUAUACAUUUACUAAAAAUCAUUAAAUAUCAUUAAAUUGGAUGCUUAUAAUGUGUGGAUUUUGUGGUAUAUAAACUAUGCCUCAGUAAAGCAGUUGUAAAAAAUUUUUAAAUCACACCUGUUAAUGGAUUCCCCAAACACUGUUUCUCUAGCACCUAGAGGUGGUGAUUUUUUUUGUUUUUUUGUUUUGUUUUGUUUUGUUUUUUUGAGGCAUGGUCUCCCUCUAUUGCCCAGGCUGGAUGGAAUAGAGUGGUGCAAUCAUAGCUCACUGUAGCCUUGAACUCGUGGGCUCAAGCGAUCCUGUCAUCUCAGCCUCCCAAGUAGCUAGAACGACAGAUGCAGCCCCCCC